rnacentral:rRNA from 1 species
AGCGAACGCUGGCGGCAGGCUUAACACAUGCAAGUCGAGCGGGCAUCUUCGGAUGUCAGCGGCAGACGGGUGAGUAACACGUGGGAACGUACCCUUCGGUUCGGAACAACUCUGGGAAACUGGAGCUAAUACCGGAUACGCCCUUAUGGGGAAAGGUUUACUGCCGAAGGAUCGGCCCGCGUCUGAUUAGCUAGUUGGUGGGGUAACGGCCUACCAAGGCGACGAUCAGUAGCUGGUCUGAGAGGAUGAUCAGCCACACUGGGACUGAGACACGGCACAGACUCCUACGGGAGGCAGGAGUGGGGAAUAUUGGACAAUGGGCGCAAGCCUGAUCCAGCCAUGCCGCGUGAGUGAUGAAGGCCUUAGGGUUGUAAAGCUCUUUUGUCCGGGACGAUAAUGACGGUACCGGAAGAAUAAGCCCCGGCUAACUUCGUG